rnacentral:rRNA from 1 species
CAGUAGCCGCGGGAAUACGAAGGGGGCUAGCGUUGUUCGGAAUUACUGGGCGUAAAGGGCGCGUAGGCGGCCAUUCAAGUUAGAUGUGAAAGCCCUGGGCUCAACCUAGGAAUUGCAUUUGAUACUGUUUGGCUUGAGUUCGGGAGAGGUGAGUGGAAUUCCCAGUGUAGAGGUGAAAUUCGUAGAUAUUGGGAAGAACACCAGUGGCGAAGGCGGCUCACUGGACCGACACUGACGCUGAGGCGCGAAAGCGUGGGGAGCAAACAGGAUUAGAUACCCGAGUAGUCCCUGUCUCUUAUAC